rnacentral:misc_RNA from 1 species
GAUGAAGAACGUAGCGAAAUGCGAUACGUAAUGUGAAUUGCAGAAUUCAGUGAAUCAUCGAAUCUUUGAACGCAUAUUGCGCUCUCUGGUAUUCCGGAGAGCAUGCUUGUUUGAGUAUCAGUAAACACCUCAACUUCCAUAUCUUUUUUGAAAUGGGAGUUGGACUUGAGUGAUCCCAACGCUUUUCCUCACCGAAAAGUGGCGGGUUACUUGAAAUGCAGGUGCAGCUGGACUUUUCUCUGAGCUAUAAGCAUAUCUAUUUAGUCUGCCUAAAAAACAGAUUAUUACCUUUGCUGAAGCUAACAUAAAGGAGAUUAGUUCUUGUGCUGACUGAUGCAGGAUUCACAAAGACAGCUUCGGCCGACUUUGUAAACUCGAUCUCAAAUCAAGUAAGACUACCCGCUGAACUUAAGCAUAUCAAUAAGCGGAGGA